rnacentral:lncRNA from 1 species
GUUGAAUCAGCACAGUCACUCGGUGAAAAAUGCAGAUUUGGAAACAAAGCAGGAAGAAGAUGCCAGAAAACCCUGGCAAGGCUCUGACCACUGCCUGCUUAGGAAUGGCCGCAGAGGGAGAGAAAUGUGUUUGCAAUUAGGACGACCCAGAGCAGGUCCGAUUACAUCUGCACGCAGCCACGCUGAAGAGAUUUCCAGAGUGAACUUAUCGUGUGGGCCUAAGUGGAUAAAAG